AGGCUAGUAGCUCAAUUGGUAGAGCAACGGAUUCCAAAUCCGUAGGUUGGGGGUUCAAGUCCUCUCUGGCCUG
rnacentral:tRNA from 1 species